GGUUGCGAUAUACCACACUAAUGCACGGAUCCCAUCGAAUCGCAGUUAGCGUGCUUGGGCGAGGAGUUACUAGAUGGGUGACCCCUGGGAAGUCCUCGUGUUGCAACCC
rnacentral:rRNA from 1 species